rnacentral:misc_RNA from 1 species
AAGUCGUAACAAGGUUUCCGUAGGUGAACCUGCGGAAGGAUCAUUCACACAACGGAUAGACACUCGCAAUGCCACUCACACACAGAUGGCCUUCCAUCUCCUGGGAUGCCAAUUCUGUGUGUAUGGCAUGGCCGGCUUGUCUAUCCACCAUACAAAACCACAAUGAGCUAUGUAAACUUCUAUUCUCCAUAUUUUUUUUCUCCUUGUUUUUGGAGCUUCCUUUUGGAAGUUUUUCAAGGAGACUCUUAUUUUCCCUUCUUCCAAACCAACACAACACAGCUCUGUCUUUGUUGUAUUGUUUUUCUUUCCUAUUUGCUGUUCCAGCCUCCAUACUGGCCAGCAUAUUUUUCUUUCCUUUUGUUGUUAGCAAAAAAACAUACGAGAGUAAAAAAUCCAAUAAAGAACAACUCUUUGCAAUGGAUAUCUUGGUUCUC